AAAGUCGUAACAAGGUUUCCGUAGGUGAACCUGCGGAAGGAUCAUUACAAAUCCCCAACGUCUCUCUCUUCAUCGAGACCCUGUUGAACUGUUCCGUCAGCGCGCCCGCGCCCUGACACCCCCCUUUUUUACCUAGUGUGACUGUUGCGCAUAUGUAUGUCUUCUUGAACAAACACACCUGAACAAGAAACAACUUAUAACAAUGGAUCUCUAGGCUCUU
rnacentral:misc_RNA from 1 species